GGAGAAGUACCCAAGAGGCCGAAGGGGAGGCUUUGCUAAAGCUUUAGGUCGGGCAACUGGCGCGGGGGUUCGAAUCCCCCCUUCUCCGCCA
rnacentral:tRNA from 4 species